rnacentral:lncRNA from 1 species
AUUCACAUUCAUUUAUUCAACUUCAAAAUGUACAAUAAUACCUCCAAUAUAUAUAUACAAUUACAACAAAUUAGAAAACAAGUAAUCAAAGAUAAAAACUGAAACUAACAACGUGUAAUCGGUUACACUUAUUUCUAAAAACAAUUUCAACACAUUGAUAAACAAUUACUAAAAAAACAAUAAUCAAUUAUGUCUGUUUUGACAACUAAAGAUCC